rnacentral:rRNA from 1 species
AGUGAACGCUGGCGGCAGGCCUAACACAUGCAAGUCGAGCGGCAGCGGGUUCCCGCGAGGGGAUGCCGGCGAGCGGUGGACGGGUGAGGAACACAUCGGAAUCUGCCUGGGUUGUGGGGGAUAACGUAGGGAAACUUACGCUAAUACCGCAUGCGACCCUGAGUCGACGGACUGGGGGUGAAAGUGAGGGACCUUCGGGCCUCACGCGACCAGAUGAGCCGAUGUCGGAUUAGCUAGUUGGCGGGGUAACGGCCCGCCAAGGCGACGAUCCGUAGCUGGUCUGAGAGGAUGAUCAGCCACACUGGGACUGAGACACGGCCCAGACUCCUACGGGAGGCA